rnacentral:lncRNA from 1 species
UCUAAUGUAUUAUCCAUCCCCUGGGUCACAUCUAAGACUGAUGAUGACAGCGAGGUGCUCAGAAUUUGAAUGGAGACAUUUGGACUCAGUUGAACUCAUAAGAUUCCUGAGAGAGUAGAGAAAAAGGCCCAGGCCAGAGCCCUUGGAUAUUCUACUGUGAUGAUCCCUGCAAAGGAAACUGAGAAGAAUCUACUAGAAAGGAUUCAUCAGCAUAGAGAAAAAGUUGACUGCUAUUUCUCCCAGCUGGAACUUCUGACCACUAAGAAGCACAGGGUGAACUUUCUGUGUAACUUCACGGAAGGAGGAUUCUUCCUGAAUAGUGCCUGGAGAAAAGGCUUUGUGGACCCUCUCCAGAAUAAGCUCUUCUUUCUAUGGCAGGGCUACCUGUAUGGAAAGUGGAAGUUGAAAGAAGAGUAGUGACCCAGGACAAAAAGUCCUCCAGGAUAGAAAAGCAACUGGCAAGGAGAAGAAGAGUGCAGGCUUGAGAGAGGAGAAGCAUGGAAAGUCUCCUAAAAUGAUGGUCCCAGGGAAGGAUUUGCUAAUCAGGAAAGUAGGGCAGAUAUCCAGCCAUAUUUCCCAAUGGCUGUUCUUCAUACAUGAUGCUUUACUCUUAUAUGUGUGCUUUUGGACUGACUCUUCCCUUCAUGUUUUGCUUCUUCACCUCCACUUCCUGAGGUCUCCAACUUACUUCAAGACAACUCAAAUUCAACCUUUAAAAACAGAACUACUAAUAGAAGUUGCAGGAAGGCUGAUUUCCACUGAAAAUGAAGAAAUGGUUCCUAACGAUAAGAGCUUUCCAAAAGUGGAAUGGAAUACCUCAUGA